ACCAAAUGCCUGCGGGCCCGCCUCAACCAGCCCAGAUGCGGACAAGAAGUCAUCGCCUUGGUUACCGUUGUAGUUGCCACACAGGCCGCAAGUCCGCCCUGCCCAGCGUGUGCCCAGCUACAAAAACGUGCACCCGGCCCUUCCCAUCCCAGUCAAGACGCAGGUUAUCGCCAUACUUCAGGAGCACAGAUGACUGCACAGAUCUCUGGAUAUGCAAGCGACCUGAAAUCCAGAAUCAUCCAUGUUUGAAGUGUGUCCAUUUACUUUAACUACAAAGCCAUGUGACAUUUUUAGAAUGAAUGUAAGGAUUUUGCCUUGAUUAUUGUGUUUACUUCACCUCUCCCCCAGAGUGAGCUGGUAUGGGCUCGAGUUCACCCACUGCCCUGAUGAGGCCACGUGCAAUAGAGGAUAAUUUGUUGUUUUGAGUGUUUGUAUAACAUGUCUCACAAGUCAUUCGCCACAAUAAAAACGACAAGGCAAAAAGUUCACCAUCAUUCAUGAGAA